GUGUUUCUACUGUGCAUACUUAGUUGUGAAUCAUGGUCAUAAGCAAUCAGGACUCAGGAGGAAAAAGCUGACCCCGACACGAGGAGGAGUGGGUUUCUCCUGGAAAGGCACUCUGUUUGCAAGAAGGCUCCGGUCACAGUAUGUUUGUUCUAAAAGGAAGUCACCAGCAUUUUAACCCUUGAGACCCACGGACAGCCACACAGCUGUUAUCAGAAGAAAAGGAUUGGGUAGCACAUACUUCAGAGUGUCACUGUGCUAUUGGAGUAAAACUUUACAUUUUUCCUGAGCUGGCUUAUUCUGAUAUUCUGAAAUCAUAAAAGAUGGAACAUAAGACUCAUAAUGGGAAUCUCAGGAGCAGGGUGAAGAAAUCUACAGUAUUUUACUAAUUGGCUUUGGCAAAGCAGUUACCUGAAGCUAAUAAAAAGUCAUACUUUAGCUCCUUUUAUUCUGAAGGGCCUCCUGUUGACCAAACUCAGCUGGAAGCCAGAAGGUAAGGAAGCAAGUAUCCCAGGGCACAAAGUGAGCAAAGAAGGGCAGAGGGUGAUUCCCAGAGUAAAAGUUCCCCAGGUGACUUUGCCAACUACCAGUUUCUAUAUACUCAGGAAGGAAGUGAGCAGAAACAUCCUGCUGAGAAAACCUGGAGCUAACACAUGAUCUAUUUCAAAUAGAUCUGUGACACGCUUUUGAUAGAGAGGACUCUUGAACUUACCAUAGCCACACCAGCCUUCAGCAACCACCACUCUGAUCAGUCAGCAGCCGUCAACAUUGAGGCAAGACCUUCCACCAACAAAAAAGUUCCAACCUGGAAUUUUUUGUAGCAAUAAGAGAACUCACUAGAACUGGACGCAUUGAUAACUCAAGAACAUCCUCAAGUAGAAUUUGUUACUUGUAGUUAGGAAUAUAUUAGCCUCCAAAUACCGACAACAAAACCUUGGAUCAUCGCAGUUUAAAAGGGAGGAUCAUUCACUUACUUACGU